rnacentral:rRNA from 1 species
UACAGAGGGUGCGAGCGUUAAUCGGAAUUACUGGGCAUAAAGCGCUCGUAGGCGGCACCGCAAGUGUGGGGUGAAAUCCCACGGCUUACCCGUGGAACUGCCUGGCAGACUGCGGUGCUAGAGGAUGGUAGGGGAGAGCGGAACUCUUGGUGGAGCGGUGAAAUGCGUAGAUAUCAAGAGGAACACCGGUGGCGAAGGCGGCUCUCUGGUCCAAACCUGACGCUGAGGAGCGAAAGCUAGGGGAGCAAACGGG